GAUGAACGCUGGCGGCGUGCUUAACACAUGCAAGUCGAACGAAGCACUUUAUUUGAUUUCCUUCGGGACUGAUUAUUUUGUGACUGAGUGGCGGACGGGUGAGUAACGCGUGGGUAACCUGCCUUGUACAGGGGGAUAACAGUUGGAAACGGCUGCUAAUACCGCAUAAGCGCACGGCAUCGCAUGAUGCAGUGUGAAAAACUCCGGUGGUAUAAGAUGGACCCGCGUUGGAUUAGCUAGUUGGUGAGGUAACGGCCCACCAAGGCGACGAUCCAUAGCCGACCUGAGAGGGUGACCGGCCACAGUGGGACUGAGACACGGCCCAAACUCCUACGGGAGGCAGCAGUGGGGAAUAUUGCACAAUGGGCGAAGGCCUGAUGCAGCGACGCCGCGUGAGCGAAGAAGUAUUUCGGUAUGUAAAGCUCUAUCAGCAGGGAAGAUAAUGACGGUACCUGACUAAGAAGCACCGGCUAAAUACGUG
rnacentral:rRNA from 1 species